rnacentral:rRNA from 1 species
UGACCUCAAAUCGGGUGGGACUACCCGCUGAACUUAAGCAUAUCAAUAAGCGGAGGAAAAGAAACUAACAAGGAUUCCCCUAGUAACGGCGAGUGAAGAGGGAAAAGCUCAAAUUUUGAAUCUGGUGUCUUUGACCCCCGAGUUGUAAUCUAGAGAAGUGUUUUCCGUGUCGGACCGUGCACAAGUUCCCUGGAACGGGGCGUCAUAGAGGGUGAGAAUCCCGUAUAUGGCACGGACUGCCGAUGCUCUGUGAUACACUCUCAACGAGUCGAGUUGUUUGGGAAUGCAGCUCAAAAUGGGUGGUAAAUUCCAUCUAAAGCUAAAUAUUGGCGAGAGACCGAUAGCGAACAAGUACCGUGAGGGAAAGAUGAAAAGCACUUUGGAAAGAGAGUGAAACAGUACGUGAAAUUGUUGAAAGGGAAGCGUUUGAAGUCAGUCAUGUCUGGYGGGAUUCAGCUUGGCUUCUGCCGAGUGUACUUUCCGUCCGACGGGUCAGCAUCAAUUUCGACCGAGGGAAAAAGACGUGCGGAAUGUGGCUGUCUUCGGGCAGUGUUAUAGCCCCGCGUUGUAUGCCUCGGUUGGGAUUGAGGAACGCAGCGCGCCUAUAGGCCAGGGGCUACCCGCCUCUUGACACGCGCUUAGGAUGC